UGCAAGUCGAGCGAUCUUCUUCGGAAGAGAGCGGCGGACGGGUGAGUAACGCGUGGGUAACCUGCCCUGUACACACGGAUAACAUACCGAAAGGUAUGCUAAUACGGGAUGAUAUAUGAAAGUCGCAUGGCUUUUAUAUCAAAGCUCCGGCGGUACAGGAUGGACCCGCGUCUGAUUAGCUAGUUGGUAAGGUAACGGCUUACCAAGGCGACGAUCAGUAGCCGACCUGAGAGGGUGAUCGGCCACACUGGAACUGAGACACGGUCCAGACUCCUACGGGAGGCAGCAGUGGGGAAUAUUGCACAAUGGGCGAAAGCCUGAUGCAGCAACGCCGCGUGAGCGAUGAAGGCCUUCGGGUCGUAAAGCUCUGUCCUCAAGGAAGAUAAUGACGGUACUUGAGGAGGAAGCCCCGGCUAACUACGUGCCAGCAGCCGCGGUAAUACGUAGGGGGCUAGCGUUAUCCGGAAUUACUGGGCGUAAAGGGUGCGUAGGCGGUCUUUCAAGCCAGAAGUGAAAGGCUACGGCUCAACCGUAGUAAGCUUUUGGAACUGUAGGACUUGAGUGCAGGAGAGGAGAGUAGAAUUCCUAGUGUAGCGGUGAAAUGCGUAGAUAUUAGGAGGAAUACCAGUAGCGAAGGCGGCUCUCUGGACUGUAACUGACGUG
rnacentral:rRNA from 1 species